UACAGAGGUCUCAAGCGUUGUUCGGAUUCAUUGGGCGUAAAGGGCGUGUAGGCGGCGCGGUAAGUCGGGUGUGAAAUCUCGGAGCUUAACUCCGAAACUGCAUUCGAUACUGCCGUGCUUGAGGACUGGAGAGGAGACUGGAAUUUACGGUGUAGCGGUGAAAUGCGUAGAUAUCGUAAGGAAGACCAGUGGCGAAGGCGGGUCUCUGGACAGUUCCUGACGCUGAGGCACGAAGGCCAGGGGAGCAAACGGG
rnacentral:rRNA from 1 species